rnacentral:lncRNA from 1 species
AUGCAGAAAGGUCUGGAGGGUGCAUCAGCUUGGGUGGAGCACCAGGCAAAGGUCUGGCACUGGCCAGUUCCCAAGGGAAAAAAGUGCCUACUAGAUGUAAAGAAUUUUUCUCCAGCCUGUUGCAACAACAUGACAAAGAGGAUUCCCCUGACAAAUGGAGAACAGAGGAAGAAAUGGCAGCUGAAGCAGCAAUUCUGAAGAAGUAUUUCCAAGAAAAUUAGAGGUAAUGGUUUGCUCAUUAAGUUAUUCCUGCAACACUCAGAACUCUUGGGUGUUCCAUAGGAUUCUUAAGGACACAUGAGAAUAUGUAGAAUGAAACCUAAAAAGCUCUAUUGUUUUUUUUCGUUCGUGUUGUUUCCUAAAAGGACACAAUACUCCAACAGUGGCUGAAAUAACAUCCUCCUUCUCGAACAAAUAAGCACCAUCUUAAAGCUUUUAGUUCCCAGAGAGUGAAAAAUAACACACCUGG